rnacentral:rRNA from 1 species
AUGUCAUUUGAGAAAUCUCGGUCCAUUUUUCUUGUUAAUGAAGACUUUUACCAAUAUUAUACUUUCCCGUUCCUCGAAACUAUCAACCUGGCCCAAAGAAUGAUCUUUUUCUUUAGGAUUCAUGGUUAUUUUUUCUUGUUAUUAUGCAUUACUAUUGAUUCAUGUGCAUGUGCUAAAGGAAAGAAAAUGUCCUACUGGAUGCGGAUGCGGAUGCCAACUAACCAGUUUUCACUUUCCGACGUGGGCGCAGGGGUGAUCGAGGUGGACUACCGCGGCCUAGUGGGCGUCGUGCUCUUCAACCACCUGGAGGCGGACUUCAUCGUGAAGCCCGACGAUCGCGCCACACAGAUGAUCAUCCAGGUCAUUGCGACGCCGGAGGUUGCCGAGGUGGAGGACCUCUACGCCACCGUUCGCCGGGAGGGACUGCUCGGAUCCACCGACGUUUCAACUCCGAAACUUGGUAGAUGCAUCUAG